CACGUAGGGUGCGAGCGUUGUCCGGAAUUAUUGGGCGUAAAGAGCUCGUAGGCGGUUUGUCGCGUCGAAUGUGAAAACCCGGGGCUCAACCCCGGGCCUGCAUUCGAUACGGGCAGACUAGAGUUCGGUAGGGGAGUCUGGAAUUCCUGGUGUAGCGGUGAAAUGCGCAGAUAUCAGGAGGAACACCGGUGGCGAAGGCGGGACUCUGGGCCGAUACUGACGCUGAGGCGCGAAAGCGUGGGGAGCAAACAGG
rnacentral:rRNA from 1 species